AUGGGGCUGAGUGAAACAUUUUUCCCAUUCCUGUUCUUUUUCUCUUAAAUAUCAAUAUUUUUCCCUUUAGUCCUUCCUAUGAAAGAAGAAUGGCAUACUGCUGUCUUAAAAGCCAGCUGGACAAAGGAUGGAUGCUGGAGGAGUCCACUUUGAGUGCUUACAGAAACAAGUUUGGGCUUUUUAGUCUGCUAACUGCCUCAUUUGGCUCCAGAAAUGGAAACAGUACAGCCCCACUACCACCAGCCAAGACAGUACUCUCUUCAUCUUGAUGCAAUUCUCAUCUCUCCUAUAUUCAGUCUUAAAAUGAAUCUAAAGAUAAGAGGAACAUCAUUGCAGAGAACUAAACCUCCUAAACACCAAACUAGCUUUUGCAGUGCAUGCAUCAAUAUCAUCAUCUAUGUGCACAUCCCUGAAAAGUAUUCUCUCAAGGAGCAGCAAAUGAUUGAUGCCAGACUCAGAGAAUAAGACUGAUAAAAUGGACAGAAAUUACUUUAAAACUGAACUUCAGGCUCUUAGUCAUUUGGCAAGCUGCUGUUUUCCUCAUCUCCUCCAGUGCUUCUGGAACACAAGGGAGACUUUACAGGCUCCUUCAAUUGUUGCACUAUAAAUUCGACAGUCUUCAUUAUGCUCUGAUCUUAUCUGAAGAGGAAGCAAGGAUUCCUGGAUGGAAAUUAAACAUGAGACUGAAUAGAGAAAAGAAAGAUGUAGAAACCACAUUUCUGGGAAAAAUGGGAAAACCCCAGGAAAAAGGGUGUCUGGAAUGAUGUCAAGAUACAGAAAAAAAAAAUUAAAUAUAGAGCCUGUGAGAGUCAGCUGUAAAGAAAUAAGAUUUGAUAAUCAGUAUCCAAGAAAAAUGUGGGAGAUUUUGUAUGUAAAGUACAGAUUUGAGAAGAUAUUUUGAACAAUGAAUGCAGAAGUACAAAAAAAUACAGGAUGACAAAUCCAAAAUUUAAGGAAGUUUUUCUGGUAGUUGUAUCAUUGUCAUGUAGCAAUUUUGCUCAGCUACACAGCUAGGAACUAAGUUUUAAUGGAAUCUACUGGUAGAGAUAAAAAAGCAGCCUCUUUGACAAUGUGAUAUACAUGAUGAUUGCUCGAGCCAUCCCCCUAAGAAAAGCAAUGUGCUCUAGUGGAUAGAAUAACGAACUUGGAGAGUCAGACAUUGUGGAAUAUAAUCUCUACUUGAUCAUUGACUGACCAUUAGACCCCAAGGAAAUCAUUUAAUCUUACCAUGUCUUGUGUCUUCAUCUGUAAAAUGAGGACUACAAUGAUGAUUUCAAAAUACUCUUGUAGGGAUAAAUGAGUUUAUCUUGGUAAUGCUUUGCCACUCCUUGGAUAAUAGAUAUUACAUAAGCAUCAAAGAGUAGCAUUAUGUGGGCGCAUACAAAGUUUCUCUGAGGUAAAAUAGAUCUUCUUAUGUAAAAAUAUAUUAGAUAUUAUGCUCUUUGAAGCUGCAUACUAUUUAGAA
rnacentral:lncRNA from 1 species